UCUACUGUUCCAUUAGAGAACUUCAACUGAAGCAACUCCAGCAUCUCAGGUGGAGGACAACUCUAGAAAUUCUUAUGGAAUAGUUGCUUUCUGUUGGUGUUAGUUGUAUUAUAUAGUUUAUACAUAGAAGUUGAUGAGGAUAUGUCGUCAUCAUCAUGAUCAUCAUCAUCAUCAUCAUACGAGUCAUACAGGCUGCAUCUCCGAUGCCUAGACCGCACAUACCACUUGGCAAAAUAAAUGUCAGUGGACACUGACUGCAUGAAGCUAUAUUUCAGUGGGAAUGGAAGGAUAUGCUAGCUAGUGUUGACAUAGGAGAGAUGGAAAAAGCCUGGAUGAAUUGGCCUGUUUCACCCUUUUGUCUCAGGCAGCCUUGGCUUGACUGGUGGUUUAACUCAAACUGAUGAAAGGUAGUUGGCAGAGAAGACAGCAUUGCAAAGGAUGCAGUACGAUGAUGCCAAACUUUCAUGUUUCUUUCAAUGAGACAGGAAAGUCUCUCAUGUCCCCUAAUAGGCUGGCUGCUUAGAUGCAAAAUCUUUGAGUUCAAGAAUAUCAGUAUUACCUGGGGACCCACCCAGCCACCUGCUCUGUCUUCAUGCCACAUGACAACCAAGCACCAUGGGAAGCUCACAGAUGCCAGAUUGUGCAGCAAGGCCCUGAGUCUGAGAUCAGCUCUUGUUUGCAGAUGUGUGGUGACAGCUGCCAGACACAUUCAGACUGCUCUGGAAUGUUCACACAGCCACUCCCUGUCUGGAAAGUCUUGGGCCAGCCUGUUGCAGUUUUUUUCCUUCUGUUUUUCCUCUUGGUGUGUCCCUUCUGAGUGUGUUGUCCUGUUUCCUGAGGCAGGAACCUGUCGGCAAGCAAGGUCGGGCAGUGAUGGCACCUCUGGAACUGGCUUUCUGGUAGCUGGUGACCCAGUGGCCUGGCCUCAUCCAUUACUAAUUGUUGACACUUGUGCAUGAAGGAAUAUGUUAGUGACUCACCUUCAUCAGACCACUCUCUGGCCUGGACAGAGAAGACAGGCAGUUCCUCACAUCAUGGCAGAAGAGAGCCCAGCACCUGGGCUGCAGGAAAAUGACACGAAACAAGGAGCCGGGACAGGAAACAUCCUCUCUCUCUCCAUUCCCCCAACAACCCACCACCUGCACCCUGCACCCUACCCCAGUAUGCCCUAUAGCCCACCUCCUGCCAUGCCCUCUCUUCCUGAAGCCAGCGCCCCUUCUCCCUCCUCACCACAUGCUCCGGCCACAUGGGAGAUGUGUCUUUCUCUGUAUGUAACUUGCUUUCCGCUCCUCUGUGCUUCUGUAUGUCAUUCCCUCUGCCUCGAAUGCUCUUCCCUCAAGACUAUUUUGGUUUUGUCUUACUUAAUUUCAAAGCCCAAUUCAAAUUAUUUCUCUCCUUUGAAACUUUCCCAGCUCCCCUUUGUGACUGGGAAGUCCUUUGUGCGAAUCCACACUCUGUAAGGCAAUUAUCAUAUUGUGUCACAGCUGCUCUUGUAUAUCUCAAUUUCCAGUGGACUUGGACUACUUGUUCAUUUUUGGAUCCACUUUACCUAACCAGGGGCUAACAGGGGUGGGCAAACUUUUUGACUCGAGAGCCACAAUGGGUUCUUAAACUGGACCGGAGGGCCGGAACAAAAGCAUGGGUGGAGUGUUUGUGUGAACUAAUAUAAAUUCAAAGUAAACAUCAUUACAUAAAAGGGUACGGUCUUUUUUUUUUCAAUAGUUUUAUUCAUUUCAAACAGGCAGGAUCCGGCCCGCGGGCCGUAGUUUGCCCACGGCUGGACAUAUAACAGACGCUCA